AAAGCUGAGAGAGAGAGAGAGAGAGAUGGGAUAUAGCAGCAUAUCCUCAAACACGUUGCAGCUGUUCCUGUGUUAUCGCCCUCGCACCAAAAACCCCACUCAAAUCCACUUUUCCUCUUCUUACCUUUCCAAUCUCAGAAGAAGAGCAAAAACCACUCAUCCAUCUGUCUCAGCCUCUCGUAUCGACUCUUCUUCUCAAGAAGAAUCCGAACAGCAAGAGAAGCAGCUCAACCUCUCUGUUCUCCGCUUCACGCUCGGGAUACCGGGGUUCGAUGAAUCGUACUUACCCAGAUGGAUCGGCUAUGCUUUCGGAUCCUUUAUUCUCUUAAAUCACUUCAUCGGAUCGGAUUCCGUCACCCCAGCCCAGCUUCGAUCGGAAGCUCUCGGACUUUGUUUGGCGGCCUUCUCCAUCUCCCUUCCUUUUCUCGGAAGGUUUCUCAAGGGUGCUAAUCCAGUGGAUCGAUCAACUCUGCCAGAAGGAAACAGGCAAAUAUUUGUCAUGCCUGAAAAUCUCUCAGAUACUGAAAAGGAAGAUUUGGCUUGGGUGUCUUAUGUUCUACUGCGGAAUACAAACACUAUGUCAGUGCUUAUAUCAGUCCAAGAUGCAUUAUGUGCACGUGGUUACUGGAAUGUACGUGAAGAUGCAACAAAAUCUGACAUGCUCGACUGGUUCAAGGGGCAGAUUCAACAGAUUGGGUUUUCUGAUCUGAAGGACACACUUUAUUUUCCUCAGGGUUCAGAUUCUCAAGCUUGGGAGAUACUACCGAACGGCGCUCUUUCACUUCUCGUACAACCAGUGCUAGGAGCUCCAAAUCUGAGUGCUGGUGACACAAAGAAUGGAGGGUUUGUCCUGUUGGUGUCUAAUGGCAGUUAUGCAUACAGCGACAGAGACAAAGCAUGGGUAAGAGCUGUCACAAACAAAUUUGCAGGUUAUGGAUAUUUUGAAAAUGCAGGAUACUACUAUUAGUAGUGGGAGCAUUGGAUGUGAUUGGAUGGACGUGAUACGUCAUUCUGCAUAGAAUCAAUUUUAUUUUUUAUUUUUAGAAUUAUGAAUGUAAUAAAGCUUUGAACUUUAUUCAAAAUUUUCUUAAUUCAAGUUAUGUUAAAUAAUUAUGCAUCGAUGUAGUAACAUAUUAUGGAAUUAUUUAUCUUAGCAUGUGGUUUGGAUUUAAAAAUUUGUGGGAUAAGGUGGGAGGAAAUGGAAUGCAUAUCUACUUAUCAUACUUCACCUUUUUCAUGGGUCACGGGUCUGAAAUUCGGGUCCUGGAUACCCUAUUCGGGUACCGAAUUUUGGGACGUGACAGCAAAGCUGCAAACUUGGGCUAAUUUUUCUAUUUUAAUCCCAUUUAUAGAUUUUAGUUAAUUAAAUUUCUUCUGAAGUGAUACAAACAUUUGAACAUGUUAUGAAUUACAGUCGCAUAAAUAUGCACUGUUGCUUGUGAACUGCAGCCAAUCUAUGUAAACUUACAAGCUAAUCACUAAGUCGCUUUUCUGUGAAUUACACUGCAGCAUGCUAUGAAUCAGGAAGACAUGGUGUGUAAAUCCAACUGUGGACCUGGUAACUGUGCCAUAAACAUUUGGGUCUCCGAGAAUAACCAGAAUGCUUACUUCUCAAAAAGUGUAAACGAUUAACACCCAGCAUCCAAGGAAACAUCAUU